rnacentral:hammerhead_ribozyme from 1 species
GUACUGCUGAAGAGUCCCAUAUUAGGACGAUGGAAACAGCUGUCCAGUAC